UCUGCCUCUCGUCUCUCCCUUCUCUCGGCUUCAACAGUGCUCGACGACGAGACAAGGUCCAUGGACCUUCAUCUUCCCUCCCCCUCCCGUUCCUCUCUCUCUCUCUCGUCCGACCGCAGUAGCAGAUCAACGAUGGAGCACCGGCCACCAUGAACCACCGCCAUUUCCUCCCUCCCUCUCCUCGGUUUUUCCGGCGAGCAGAUCAGUCCAGCGAGGCCUCCCUUUUCUCCGGUGAGCUCGAGUUUCCCGGCGUUUUCCUGAGCUUGGCGGCAGCAACCAUGGCAGCUCCAGCGUUUCCCUUCCUCUGUUUCCGGCGAACAGAUUAGCUCCGGCGAGAUUAGGCCUUCUCGGCUGGAGUAUGGAUAAAGAUUACGAAUGCCAGAAUGCUACAAUGAAGAAGAAUACACUGGAUUUGGCAAGAUGUUGCUAGUUUGGACAAAAAAACAGAGAAGCUACGGAAAUGGGAAUGGAUUAACAAUGGAUUAAUAAGACCAUUAAGGUUCUCUGUUGAAAGGGCUAGCUUAGGAGUUGAGUCUAGAUUGGGUGUUGACUUUUGGAGCUUAGCUUGAGGACUUGGAGUUGUGGCUAGUUUGAGAGCGCGGCGUAGAGCUCGUAGUCUUGGAUUGAAUUUGGUAUAGAUUGAUUAGCCGUAAAACUUGAAUUGUUGAAUUUUAGUUACCUUGUGUUUUGGAAAGUAGAAUUUUGUAGAACUUAUUAAAGGGAAUCCUAACCAAAUUAAAUCCUUUUUAAUUAUUAUUAACGGAAUUAAUUAAAUAAUAAAUCUGAGAUUGAAGGCCGUAACACGGGGUGUUGCAGCUAGCACGCGGUUAUGAGACAAUGGUUUUGGAAAGAAUAUCAGCGAAUCAUCUUGUGAGAAGUUAGGGUUGCAUCUCUGGUUGUCAUGCCUCUUCUCAAAAUAAUAAGUUCAUGGUGAUUAUGAAGAAGAACUUGAGAAGUAUCAACUCUGCUUAACCGAUUGGACGCGAAGAUCACUCAGCUGUGGGAACAACGUAGAACUGUGUCAUUGAAGCGGACUGCAUCAGAGUUAGCUCUCCAAUUGAAGGGAUUUCAUUGGAUUUCUGAAUGCGUGGCUCUCUGACUUCAACAAUCUACUAAACCUUUAUAGACUGGGUACUGACCUUGUGUGGGGCACUUGGGUGAGAUUGCUAUUUCUCUACCUUUGUACAUUGGAUUCUAAGUUAGUAGAUUGGACACAUCGGUGAUCGUCACCCAGAUGUAGAUACACACUCUAUCGAACUGGGUAAACAAACAUAUGUGUUGAUUUACUUUCUGCCUUAGUCUUCUGCAUUUCGUAAUAUCUGCUUAUCUAUCUAAAUGACUGCUUCAUUGAGAAUCUAAGUUUGUCAGUCACUUAUUCAGUUUGCAAGAAACUAAAUCAAUAAUUCAAGAUUAAGAGAAUAUGCAAAAUUACAUGUGGUAUCAGAGCUUUUAAGUCUACAUAAUGACUUGAUCCAUACGGGAAAAUCUUUUUGCAUUUUUCUUUCUUUAAGAAGCUGUUUGCUUGGUUUUCUGUUGAGAUUUGGACUACUCUUUGCUUGUGAGUUCUGGCUGGUCAUUUGUUUGAAUCAGGAUGGAUGCAAAUUUGAAACCACCGGAAUUGGAUGGUCACAACUAUUCCUUCUGGAAGGCUCGAAUGGAGAUUUACCUUCAAGCUCAAGGCACUAGAGUUUAUCGUACAUUCCUCACUGGAUGGAGCCCUCCGACAGUUCAGAAUGAUGAUGGAACCACUGGGAUCAAACCGAUAGAGACUUGGACUGAAGAUGAAAUAUCGUCCUCUGAUCUGGAUAAUAAAGCACUGAAUUCUAUUGUAGGAUCUCUACAUGAAUCAGUGUUUACUUUGGUUACAGGAAUAAAAGAGGCAAAAUGUGUAUGGAAAAUCCUUUAAACUAUAUUUGAGGGCACCAGUGACGUCAAACAGUCAAAACUCCAGAUGGUCUUAUCAGAAUUCGAAGCUCUCAUGAUGAGUGGAGAAGAAACUGUAUCUAACUUCCACAGUCGAGUUUAAGAUUUGAUGAACAGAGCAUCAGUACUAGGGGAACCAUUUACAGAUGAAAGAGUUGUCAAGAAGAUCCUUCGUUAUCUACCCAAACGAUAACGAAUGAAAGUGACUGCAAUUCAGGAAAACACAGGCUGUGAGAAGAAGAAUGUAGGAGAGCUUAUGGGGAUUAACCUUCUUCUUCACCCCGCUGCUCGCCUCCAUCCCGCCGUGGGCAGUGGGGCCGCCGCUGAUACUCGUCGGCGUUCUGAUGAUGCGGGCGGUGACAGAGAUCGAGUGGGGCGACAUGCGGCAGGCGAUUCCGGCGUUCAUAACGCUAAUCGUGAUGUCGUUGACUUACUCCAUCGUCUACGGGUUGAUCGGCGGCAUUGGAACUUUCAUUAUUUUGCACUUGUGGGACUGGAUCGCGGGGUGGAUGAGGAAAUACAGAACAAUUGAGGGGCCAAUUAGCAAUAAUGUGAAUUUGGAUAAUGGUGUCAAGUAGCUUAAUAUAAUGAUGGAUGAUGCUAAACAAAAUUCUUGUUGAUAUGAUUGAUAAGCUAAGGUAAAGGGUCACCAAUGUUUCUUUC